UCAUAAAAUAGUUAAUCUAUUCUUGAUUUUAUGGGAAAAAUCCCACCAUUUGAAGAAUUACACAUUGCCUAUUUGGAUCAACUCAAAAGCAUAUGGAAGGA